GCCCUUCUGUCGCCUCCACCUGCUCAGCUCACGGCCAGCCCUCAGGACCCAGCUCACACACGUUUCCUCUCUGCAACACCUGGCCCCUCAGGUGAGCCCCACGGCCUGGGUAGUGGUCCCCUGACCCUGUCUGCUUCUUGAGGGUGGGCCUGCUCCAGACAUGUCACCCCACCCAGCAAAUGCCUGCCAGCUUGGUUGGCAGUGACUCACCCUGGCUGCAGUCUUUCCAAGGCUCUGGGGGCCCCAGUGGGAGCAGGGAAGACGGGGCUCAGCACCCAGUGGUGCUAGGUAACCUGCCACAACAAGGGGAGGUGGCCAGCCCAGGGUCAGACCACAGAAGCAGUCAACCUGGGAGCUGAGCCCAGGAGUAUAGGUGCCAGAGCAGGGCCUUCACGCAUGCACACACAGACUCGCCAUCAAGCGCCGCAGCCCUGGAGCAGGGGCUGCGGCACAGACCCAGGGCUUUGGCGAGGCCACACUUCUCACAAGAAUGGCCCACAGAUGGGGUGCUGGACCUGCGCUGUGGGUCAUGAGCAUGGAGCAGGCCAAGCUCCCCUCAGGAGAGGGCCGGCUGCAUGGAGGCAGGAGGAGGGCAGAAGGAUGAAGGACCCAGUGUCCCCCCAGUGGGGCACCGCCCAGCACGGACACAGGCCACAUGGUGGGGGAGAAGGGCCAGUGCAGACACCCACAGGGCACAGCUGGAGUGGCCUUAGAAUGAAGCCACAUCCUGCAGAUGGGGACUGAGACACAGGCUGGGACACUGAAUCAGAGGUGGAGCUGGGCGGAGGCUCAGGACCCAGACAUCCAAGGAGAACAGGAGUCCUGGCCAAGAGGAAGGAAGAGUGGGUUCAAAUGCACCGACAGGUCCCAGCACAGGGACAGACACAAGACCAGUGGGAUGGAGCUGGGAGUCCAGGGACACACCAGGUGUCCAUGGCGAGUGAACGUCACCAGGAGUGCUGAGACCACUCAGGGGGAAGAACAGUCUCAUCAACAAAAGGUGGGGGACAACUGGAUUUCCACAUGCAAAGAACGGAGUGGGGCCCUGCCUCAGACUAACCCCUUAAGUUAACCAAAGUGGAGCAUAGACUUAAAACUAUGAAACUUUGGGGCCGGCCUGGUGGCACAGUGGUUAAGUGCGCACAUUCCACUUCAGAGGCCCAGGGUUCGCCGGUUCGGAUCCUGGGUGCGGACAUGGCACUGCUUGGCAAGCCAUGCUGUGGUAGGCAUCCCACAUAUAAAGUAGGGGAAGAUGGGCACGGAUGUUAGCUCAGGGCCAGUCUUCCUCAGCAAAAAGAGGAGGAUUGGCAAGAGAUGUUAGCUCAGGGCUAAUCUUCCUCAAAAAAACAAACAAACGAAAAACUACGAAACUCGUACAAGAAAACAUAGGAACAACUCUUCAUGACCUGGGAUUUGGCAUGGAUUCUUAGAUGACAUCAAAAGCACAAGCAAUAAAAGAGAAAUAAGUUGGACUUCACCAAAAUGGAAAACUUUUGUGCAUCCAACGUUGUUAAGAAAAUGAAAGUCAAUGUACAGAAUGGAAGAAAAUAUUUGCAGAUCACUUAUCUGAAAAGGGUCUAGUACACAGAAUAUAUAAAGAAUUGUUACAAAUUGGCAAUAAAAAGACAACCAACCAGUUAAAAAUGGGCAAAAGCCUUCAAUAGACAUUUCAAAGAAGACACACAAAUGACCAGCAAGCAGGUGAAAAGAAGCUUGUCAUCAGUCAUUAGGGACAUACAACCAAAACCACAACAAAGUGCCUUUCACACCUGCUGAGAGGACUAGAAUCAAAAAAAAACCCCAAAAGACGGAAAGCGACAAGUGUCAGCAAGGACACACAGGUGUUGGAAUCUGUGCACACUGCUGGUGGGAAUGUGAAAUGGUGUUUCCACUGUGGAAAACAGAGUGACGUUUUCUCAAAAAGUUAAAUACGAUAUUCCACAAGAUCCAGCAAUUCCACUCCUAGGGAAUGGAGCCCCUAGGACUGAAAACGGACGAGCAAACACAUGUUCACUCCAGUCCAUAGGCGCACCAUUCACAACAGCCGAAAGGUGGGAGCAGCAGUGUCCACCAAGGACGAAUGGAUAAAUGUUCCAUGGAAUAUCAGUCAGCCCUGAAAGGAAUGAGGCACCAACAUGCCACAGCACAGGUGAACCUUGAGGGCACUGUGCUCAGGAUGAGAAGCCAGGCAUGAGGCCGCAUGGUGUGUGAUCCCAUUCACAUGAAAAGCCCACAGCACGCAAAUCCACAGAGACAGAAAGCAGGCCGCUGACCGCCAGGGGUGGGAGGAGGAGGCAGAGGAGAAACUACUCGUGGACACGGGAUUUUAUUUUAUAGUAACAAAAAUGUUCUGGAGCCAGAUAGAAGAGGUGACUUUACAGCACUGUGAAUGCGCCAAAUACUGCCUGCUCAUCUCUCUACACCAAGGGCCUGCUCAUCUCCAUCUCCACCCAGGGCCUGCCCAUCUCCAGGUCCUCCCAGGGCCUGCUCAUCUCCAUCUCCACCCAGGGCCUGCCCAUCUCCAGGUCCUCCCAGGGCCUGCUCAUCUCCAUUUACACCAAGGGCCUGCCCAUCUCCAUCUCCACCCAGGGCCUGCCCAUCUCCAGGUCCUCCCAGGGCCUGCUCAUCUCCAUCUCCACCCAGGGCCUGCCCAUCUCCAGGUCCUCCCAGGGCCUGCUCAUCUCCAUUUACACCAAGGGCCUGCUCAUCUCCAGGUCCUCCCAGGGCCUGCUCAUCUCCAUCUACACCAAGGGCCUGCUCAUCUCCAUCUACACCCAGGGCCUGCCCAUCUCCAGGUCCUCCCAGGGCCUGCUCAUCUCCAUCUCCUCCCAGGGCCUGCCCAUCUCCAGGUCCUCCCAGGGCCUGCUCAUCUCUACCUACACCAAGGGCCUGCUCAUCUCCAUCUCCGCCCAGGGCCAGGCCAAUGCUAUCUCCCACCCUGGGCCACCAGCCCCUCCAAGGCCAGUGAUACCCUUCUCCAUGCCUCUGCCCACCCCUCACGGGAGCCUCAGAGGUGUCCACACUGGCCAGCACACUGAGGUCCCUCCCCUCCCAGGGCCCUGGCCACAACGUGGCCUUCUUAGCUAUCUCCCUCAGCUCCUCCACUGCACCCCAUUCCCCGGGGCACGCCCUCCAGACCCUCCCACAGGUGAGUCCUCCAGCCACAGAGCCCUUGGCCAGGGCCUGCUGCCAUGACGCAUGCCACUGCCUGGCUGUGUGGGUCGUGUGGAGCGAGGAACAAUUCUGUCUUUUUUCAAGGGAGCCAGGUAUGAUCUCUUCUGGAGAAAGGAGUUCACAUAUCACGGGCUUCAGAGUCAUCAACCUACAGAUCCAGUUCCCUGGCCUCCCAGGCUUCUGGCCUUGUUGUGGUGUCCAGUAAUUGGUAUUUGUGCCUUGCAGCCCAGGUGAGACAGCGAGGGGUCCGAGCCCCACAGACCCUCGGUGUGAGCCCAGGGGCUGGAGGGUGUCCUUCUGGCCUGGGGCAGCCACUCUCCCAGCCUCACAGAGCUGCAUCCCUGCGGUCCCUCCCUCGGGGCCCGGUGACUCCUGCAGACAAGCUGGGCUGCAGAAGAGCCUCCGCCCUCAACUGGCCCCUUGAGCUUAGAAUGCCCAGAAGCCACAGCUCCCCCGAGACGUUUGGAAGCCUGCUAGGCCAGGCAGAUCCUCUGCAGGGAGCCCCUCACAUCAAGUCACAUCAUGAGAGUGCUCCACAUGCCUACAUUUAGGGCAUGGCUUCUUGCUGCUAAAAUAUUUUUCAAAGGGACUUGUCUACGUUUGCUUUUGAAAUCAGUAGUUUCAAUUUAGCAACUUUCUUUCUGUAUUUAGAGGCCAGUACAUGCAUUUGGGGGUGUCAGGCAUCUUGGCAGUUCCUAGGAACGGCAGUAGGUCGCAGCACUGGGCAGUGGGGCCUGACCUGGCAAGUCCCAUCCUGGGGGACAAGGCACCCCUGACCUCCAAGGAGCUUUGCAAGUGGGCUUGAAAACAUAUUCAGACACAGAGACACAUGCUUACACAUGUGGAUCCAUGUACACAUGCACGUGUGGGUACUCACAUGUAGAUCUGUGUACACAUGUGGGUCCAUGUACAUGUGGGGAGAUACACACAUGCAGUUCCAUACACAGAGAGGCACACAUGUAGAUACAGGUACAUAGACACACGUAGGUGCAUGCACACAAGUAGAGACAUGCACAUACAUGUAGAUCCAUGCACACAUAGAUACACAUAUGGAUCCAUGCACACAGAGACACACAUGUAGGUCCAUGCACACACAUGAAGGUCCAUGCACACACAGACACAUGCAUGUGGGUCCGUGCACACAGAGACAUGCACACAUAGGUCCCUGCACAUGUAGGUCCAUGCUGACACAGACACACACGUAGGCCCAUGCACACACACAUAGGUCCAUGCACACAGAGACACAUGCACACACAGAUAUCCAUUUACUUCUAUAGGGUCACUCUCCUUCCUGAGCAGGGGUAGGGUGGGCUGGGAGAAGACAUGAGGAGCCUACCCCUCAGAAAGCCCACACUCUGGGUGCUAAGAUGGCCUUACGCCAAAGAAGAAAGGAAGCAGAGGUCCUAGACACUCCUGCUCUCCAGGCUUGUUGAGGAUGUUUGAAAUCACCUGCUUGGAGAGCCCCACCAUUCAGGACUUUCAGAAACUUUCAAGCGACAAAGCAGAGCCAAAGGCAGCAGCACUGGGUGAGACCUGGGGUGCCAGCCCACUUCUUUCCAGCCCUUCUGAGGGAUGGUGCUCAGGGAGCCAGUGGGCCGGGAGGCUCCCUGGAGGAGCAGCCUGAAUCAAACUCAGCAAAGGACUCGUCCCAGUGGGCUGGGGUUUGGGCCAAGCAUGGACAGCAGAAGAGGGCAGGAGCAGGGGGCCAGGCACCACUGGCAGAGAGAGGCCGGGCCCCUGCCCAGGGGGUCUCUGGGGAGGCAGGGAGAGGCCAGGAAGGGACUGCUGAGUUGAGCAUCCUGGACGGGGUGGGGAGUGCUGGCAAGGGUAGGGCAGGGCCUGGGCAGGACGUGGUGGCCAAGCUGGGGCUGUGAGAUCCAUGUGGGCAGAGCAGCUAGAUGCUGGAGGUGCCUGGGAGAGCCCAGCCCCUGGCUGCCCUGGGCAAAUUCAGGCCUCUCUCCUGCCUGUACAGUGGGUGGCUCUCACUCACUCAUUCAGUUCAGGAGAUUGACACUGGCCCAGAGAGAGCCCAGCCAGCCUGGGGUGGGGGCGGGGGGACCCCUUCAAGAGCAAGAGGUGGCAGGUUCAAGAAGGUAGCCGGUGUGUCAGGCCAGUCAGCUCAGGGGUUCCUAAGCACGAGGAAACCCCACCUGCAGAGCAAGGCCUGACUGCCCUGCACAGAGCUAGCCCAGCCCAGGAUACCUGUCAACCAUGGCAGGCUGGCUGGGUCUCAGCCCUCCCGUGAGUGAUCUCUGGUGGCCCCAGUGGUCCUGGUCUGUACUGAGGGGCAGGAAGGUGGCUCUGCCCUUGCUGGAAGCAGCGGCCAGUCCAGUUCUGGUGAUACCACGCCGGUUUUCCAAAUUAUGUUUCAGGUCCAUUACAUGGGUCAGAGCAGGCCAUGAGGGGAAGGCCAGGAGUGGCAUUGCCCUCCUCCUGCAGCUCAGACCAGGACGUCCCAUGCCAGCUGCUCCACCUGUGGGUCCAGCAAGCACCCUCCAGCAUCUGGGAGCUGGAGUCUGGAUUCUGCCAAGAGGAAAUGGGGUUCACGGGGCCUCCUGGACCCUGAGCCUGGCCUCUCCUGCCACCUCUGCCCCAGGAAGCUCCAGCAUGUUGUCCCAAGCCGAGGCCUUGCCUGCUACCCUCUACCAGACCAUCACGUCCCAGUGGCUCAACAAUGUUCCGUGGAUGUCCAGGCUGCAUGGGCUGCUCCACCUCACUGGAGCUGCUCCAUCAAGCCACCAGGGCCACUCCACCACACAGGGCUGCUCCACCCCACCAGGGCUGCUCCACUCCACCCAGGGCUUCUCCACCCAGCCACCAGGGCUGCUCCACCACACAGGGCUGCUCCACCCAGGCGCCAGGGCUUCUCCACCCCACCAGGGCUGCUCCACCACACUGAGGCUGCCAGUGAGGCCCUACGUGCAUCUGAGGUGGAGCCUCCAGCUCAUUCAUC
ensembl:lncRNA